rnacentral:rRNA from 1 species
AUUGAACGCUGGCGGAAUGCUUUACACAUGCAAGUCGAGCGGCAGCACGGGGGCAACCCUGGUGGCGAGCGGCGAACGGGUGAGUAAUACAUCGGAACAUGCCCAGUCGUGGGGGAUAACACUUCGAAAGAAGUGCUAAUACCGCAUACGUCCUGAGGGAGAAAGCGGGGGAUCUUCGGACCUCGCGCGAUUGGAGUGGCCGAUGUCAGAUUAGCUAGUUGGUGGGGUAAAGGCCUACCAAGGCAACGAUCUGUAGCUGGUCUGAGAGGAUGAUCAGCCACACUGGGACUGAGACACGGCCCAGACUCCUACGGGAGGCAGCAGUGGGGAAUUUUGGACAAUGGGGGCAACCCUGAUCCAGCCAUUCCGCGUGAGUGAAGAAGGCCUUCGGGUUGUAAAGCACUCUCAGCGAGGAGGAAAGGUUGAUGCCUAAUACGUAUCAACUGUGACGUUACUCGCAGAAGAAGCACCGGCUAACUCCGUGCCAGCAGCCGCCGUAAGAC